UACGUAGGGGGCAAGCGUUGUCCGGAAUCAUUGGGCGUAAAGCGCGUGUAGGCGCCAGAAAAGUCCGCUGUGAAAACUCGAGGCUCAACUUCGAGCUGUCGGUGGAAACUUUCUGGCUAGAGUCCGGAAGAGGAGAAUGGAAUUCCUGGUGUAGCGGUGAAAUGCGCAGAUAUCAGGAAGAACACCAAUUGCGAAGGCAGCUCGCUGGGACGUUACUGACGCUGAGACGCGAAAGCGUGGGGAGCAAACAGG
rnacentral:rRNA from 1 species